AUACGGAGGGUGCAAGCGUUGUUCGGAAUCACUGGGCGUAAAGGGCGCGCAGGCGGUUCGGUAAGUCAGAUGUGAAAGCCCAUGGCUCAACCAUGGAAGUGCAUUUGAAACUGUCAGACUUGAGUACUAGAGGGGAAAGUGGAAUUCCCGGUGUAGAGGUGAAAUUCGUAGAUAUCGGGAGGAAUACCGGUGGCGAAGGCGACUUUCUGGCUAGAUACUGACGCUGAGGCGCGAAAGCGUGGGGAGCAAACAGGAUUAGAAACCCCAGUAGUCC
rnacentral:rRNA from 1 species